rnacentral:rRNA from 1 species
GGUCUUAGCUUGCUAAGACUGAUGGCGACCGGCGCACGGGUGCGUAACGCGUAUGCAACUUGCCUCACAGAGGGGGAUAACCCGUCGAAAGACGGACUAAUACCGCGUACACUUACAGGAGGGCAUCCUCCAGUAAGGAAAUGAAAUUCGCUGUGAGAUAGGCAUGCGUCCCAUUAGCUAGUUGGUGAGGUAACGGCUCACCAAGGCGACGAUGGGUAGGGGAACUGAGAGGUUGAACCCCCACACUGGUACUGAGACACGGACCAGACUCCUACGGGAGGCAGCAGUGAGGAAUAUUGGUCAAUGGGCGAGAGCCUGAACCAGCCAAGUCGCGUGAAGGAUGACUGUCUUAUGGAUUGUAAACUUCUUUUAUACGGGAAUAACAAGAGUCACGUGUGGCUCCCUGCAUGUACCGUAUGAAUAAGCAUCGGCUAACUCCGUGCCAGCAGCCGCGGUAAUACGGAGGAUGCGAGCGUUAUCCGGAUUUAUUGGGUUUAAAGGGUGCGUAGGCGGCCUGUUAAGUCAGCGGUGAAAUCUAGGAGCUUAACUCCUAAAUUGCCAUUGAUACUGGCGGGCUUGAGUGUAGAUGAGGUAGGCGGAAUGCGUGGUGUAGCGGUGGAAUGCAUAGAUAUCACGCAGAACUCCGAUUGCGAAGGCAGCUUACUAAGGUACAACUGACGCUGAAGCACGAAAGCGUGGGUAUCAAACAGGAUUAGAUACCCUGGUAGUCCACGCAGUAAACGAUGAUAACUGGGCGUAUGCGAUAUACAGUAUGCUCCUAAGCGAAAGCGUUAAGUUAUCCACCUGGGGAGUACGCCGGCAACGGUGAAACUCAAAGGAAUUGACGGGGGCCCGCACAAGCGGAGGAACAUGUGGUUUAAUUCGAUGAUACGCGAGGAACCUUACCCGGGAUUGAAAUGUAGAUGACCGCCGGUGAAAGUCGGCUUUCCUUCGGGACAUCUAUGUAGGUGCUGCAUGGUUGUCGUCAGCUCGUGCCGUGAGGUGUCGGCUUAAGUGCCAUAACGAGCGCAACCCCUGUCUACGGUUGCCAUCAGGUGAUGCUGGGAACUCCGUAGAGACUGCCGUCGUAAG